ACGUAGGGACCAAGCGUUGUUCGGAAUUACUGGGCGUAAAGGGCGCGUAGGCGGCCUUCUAAGUCGAACGUGAAAUCCCCGGGCUCAACCCGGGAACUGCGUCCGAUACUGGAAGGCUUGAAUCCGGGAGAGGGAUGUGGAAUUCCAGGUGUAGCGGUGAAAUGCGUAGAGAUCGGGAGGAACACCUGUGGCGAAGGCGGCCGUCUGGGCCGACCCUGACGCUGAGGCGCGAAGGCGUGGGGAGCGAACGGGA
rnacentral:rRNA from 1 species